rnacentral:rRNA from 1 species
GGUAUUCUGACUGUGCUAAGGUAGCAUAAUCAUUUGUUUCUUAAUUGGUAACUGGAAUGAACGGUUGAGCUGGUUUAGUAGGUGUGUAUAUUUAAAUAAGAGAUUAAAGUCUAGGUAAGAAUUCUUGGAUAUUUUAGGGGACGAUAAGACCCUAUAAGCUUAAUAAAGAUAGUAUUGAUUUUGUUUUUCAGGUUAGUUUAUUUUACUGGGGCGGUACUGGUAUUUUAACUAUUAGUUAAUUUAAGAUCCUUAAAAUAAAGAUGAAACGUAAAAGUUACUUUAGGGAUAACAGUGCAAUAUUUUUGGAGAGAUCUUAUCGAUAAAUAUGUUUGCAACCUCGAUGUUGAAUUAAAAUUUCUACGUGAAGCAGAAGGUAUAGUAGAGGGUUUGUUCAACCUUUAAAUUUUUACAUGAUCUGAGUUCAAACCGG